UUAACAAAAGUGCUGAGAAUGAUGAAAAGCGGAGGAACCAAAUUUUGGGGCGUAUCUCUGACUCCUGAUGAGUCAAGAAGGGUAUCUCUCAACCCUAGCCCGUCAGCUAACUCCGUCGGCCUUGAGGGAAGACUGA
rnacentral:sRNA from 2 species